AAUGUUAUGACUCUAUUUAGUACCACUGAACUGUACACUUAAAAUGGUUAACAGAGUACAUUUUAUGUUAUGUGUAUUUUACCACAAUAAAAAAAUAAAAUACCUUAGGAACAUUUUCCUGAAAGAGUCCACAUAAAAUUCAUUUUAAUGCAUGUGUUUAUGCAUAGCUUUCUAUUUUUCUCUUUUCUAUUUAUAUUCCAAAUUAGAAUAUAAUGCUAAUCAAGCAUAGUGGCUGUGUUUCUUGCUUCCUCUAGUCUGCAGGUAGCAUACAAAUGUAAUAAACUACUCAUUAAUGUCACAUCUAUUUAUUUUCUGCCUUAUACCAAGCUUGUGGGAUUCUCUUAAAUACAACAUUUUAAUACUUACACCUAUGCAAUACCCAUUAGCAUCGCCUUCCUAAAUCAGGGGAAAUUGAGUCUCUGUAAGCUGCAGUAACUUACUAAGAUACAAAACUCAGCAUUAAAGUCUGUAUACUUCAAAAUGUUUCCCCC
rnacentral:lncRNA from 1 species